ACGGGGGUAGACUAUCAGCCCCAAGAUCCAGGGUUAAUCAGUGGGAAAGAUCAUUACCAGGGACAUGUUUGUCUGGUUUUGAAAUGUGGAUGGAACAUUGGAAGAUUGGAAGUUCCAGUCCCUGUCCCCCACACCCACACAUCCCAUAGACUGCACUGCAUAUAUUGCGUGGUCCCUGCCUGGCCUUCAGCUCAGGAAUCAAGGGAACAUUCUGAGGUGGGGCAUUGGCGGGAGGCCCCGUGUGAACUUUUGAAGCUCACUUUCCUCAGAGAGCACAGGCUUCGGCCAGAAAUCUCCCUCUCAACCUGUCUCCAAAUUUCUGUGCCUGUUCAACAGUUGAUCACCUCCCACCAUCUCAGAACCUGUCAACUGGGUCCUUUUGUAUCUGUUCCAUCACCAUGUCUAUGUUGCCAGCUUGUCUCUCUGGACAACUGUCUCCUACAUGUGCUCCCUCCUCCUGUCACCUUUCACCCAUUCCACCAAACAUCUAGAGUGGCUUCCAUAGCCCUUACGAUAAAUUCCAAGUCCCUCAACCUGGGUCACAUGAAUACCUCUGACCUGGCUCUUUGUCCCAGACUUCGGCUUCCUCUUCAUCCUUGUCUCCUAGCUCCCCCCGCCUCCAGCCGUAAUGACCUUUCUUUCUGUUCUCUGUGGAGCCCACGCUUUCUCUCAAGAUUUGUCUGGGCUCAUUGCCCAUGCUUUGUUCCUCGCCUUCUAUUAACCAUGUUUCCAGCUUCUGUAAAUGUGAUGCUGUCAUAUCUGCCCUACAUGCCUAUACUGGACAAGCCAGUAUCUUAUUUUCUGGAUAAGCCAGUAGUGUGCCUAUGUCUCCUUGCCACGGCCUCCUGCCUCCCUCACUGCACCCCCCUCCUCAGGAGAAGACUUCUUCCUGGGGGUGUGCUUUUUUUUCAAAUGCAGAUUCAUCAAUCCCCAGUCCAUACAUUCCUGACCACACCACCUUUUGUCAGCUUCUCACACUCUGGACCACCAUUCCUGUGCUUUAGUUACCCCAGAGCCAGGCACCAGAGGACUAGGGACAUCACCUGUGCCCCACAACCCACUGAAAUUCAGUGUAGCGAAUCCUAA
rnacentral:lncRNA from 1 species